rnacentral:rRNA from 1 species
AUUGAACGCUGGCGGCAGGCCUAACACAUGCAAGUCGAGCGGAGAUGAGGUGCUUGCACCUUAUCUUAGCGGCGGACGGGUGAGUAAUGCUUAGGAAUCUGCCUAUUAGUGGGGGACAACAUUCCGAAAGGAAUGCUAAUACCGCAUACGUCCUACGGGAGAAAGCAGGGGAUCUUCGGACCUUGCGCUAAUAGAUGAGCCUAGGUCGGGUUAGCUAGUUGGUGGGGUAAAGGCCUACCAAGGCGACGAUCUGUAGCGGGUCUGAGAGGAUGAUAGGCCACACUGGGACUGGGACACGGCCCGGACUCAUACGGGAGGCAGCAGUGGGGAAUAUUGGACAAUGGGGGGAACCCUGAUCCAGCCAUGCCGCGUGUGUGAAGAAGGCCUUAUGGUUGUAAAGCACUUUAAGCGAGGAGGAGGCUACUGAGACUAAUACUCUUGGAUAGUGGACGUUACUCGCAGAAUAAGCACCGGCUAACUCUGUGCCAGCAGCCGCCGUAAUAC